rnacentral:lncRNA from 1 species
GAGAAACUAAAGGCCCUUGAUUUUUUUAUGGCUAAACUAUUACUAUUUUGUGUUGUUUGACUGCUUACCUUUGUUUCUGCAUCUUAUCACUUCUGUGACUAAAACUGCUUUUUGGAACAGGAGGUUAAAGUUUUUCUACAAAUAUGAGGCAGAGGACACAGCAGGGUGAGGGGAAGAUCUGUCUCCACAAAGACCCUGAAGGGUCCUGCUCAGUUUCACUUCCAUCAAAAUGCAACCCUUUCUGACUCCCUCUGCACAUGACCAUGGGUUGCCUUAGCAGGCUUUUCUCUCACAUAACAACCCUUGUCACAUUUUAUUACUCUCAUCUAUUUAAUGGUCUAGGACUAAGGGAUGGACUAUAUCAAAUGUCUAUCAUAAUAACUAUAAGGAUUAGUAUUUAUUAAGUACUUUUGUGUCAGAUAUUUUGAUAGGGAAUUUACAUAUUUUUGCAGUGACUGAUUUAGUAGCUCUCCAAGUCCUUUUCCUUUACCUUCUGAGCCCUCAAGUAGACUAUAUUUCCUAGAUUCCUGCAUAGUUAUGUGGGACCAUGGGACACAUUCUAGCCAAUGACAGGUGAAUUUAAGUGAUAAUCAUCACUGUAAGAGCUAGUGUUUGUCUCCCACACAAGACCACCUCUGUUAUUUUCUCUUCCAAAGAAAAGCCUGAAUAGCCCUGUAAAAAGUUACCAGCCCAAACAGAAUACCCACUGGACUUUAUAGGAACCAGAAAUAACUUUUGACUGUUUUAAGCCAUGGAGGUUUUUAGUUUUUAUAGUAUCUAUCAUUCUCUAACUAAUGCAAACACAUUGUCAUUAAAUCCUAUGCUGCAAAUAUUAUCAUUACUAUUUUGUAGAUUAUUAAAUUAACAUUAGAAGAGGUUAAGUUGCUGGUCUAAAGUAACACAGUAAGUAAUAGGGCUUAGAGUCAAACUAAGAGAGGUUGAACUCAGACUGCAAAUUUUAAUCACCAUCAUGCCUUUCUCUCUACCACAAGUUAAAACAACGAAAACUCCAAACUGAACCAUAUUUUAAAGCUAAGGUAAUUGGAAGAGUGAAAGAACAAGAUUAAGGGAAUAAAAUCAUUAAGCCCAGAUUUUGCGUCAUGUACUUAUAAUCAUUUAGCCCAUGACCAUGGUAGUAUUUCAAAUAAGCAGUGAAAGAAACAUAUUUUGUACUUUAUGCUAAUGCAUAUUACAGAUGUAUUAAAACAUCAAAUGCAAAAAAUUAAAUCAUAAUAAAAUAAAGAAGGAAAUAUAUUUGAUAUUAUAUCUAACUUCUAACUUAAUGUCCAAUACUUGGUUAAUAUUCAAUAAAUUGUGUGAAUGAAUAUUACUUUAAGACUGCUUAUUUCAUUCCAUGUCUCCAUUUCACCCUUGUUUAAAAAAAUAUGCCUUGCAGCAUAUUUUGGGUAUGUGUGGAAGGAGGAAAAUCUCUAAAGAAUCUCUAAUAAGAAUCAAGUUUUCAGUUUCUGGGAGAUUUUAUAUUAGAGGGAACAUUUUAACUUAAUUAAGAAGCAUUAAACAGAGUCUUAUUAAAGAGUGUGAAUAGGAAAAAAAACUUUGUAUAAAAAUAAUCAAAACUGGCACCUUACAUUUCUAAGGACAGAGGUCAGUUCAUAAUUAUUCAGUUUCAUUGCCAUAUUCACUUUAUUUCUAGGAUUUUUACUGUUAACAAAAUGAGUUGAGGCAUGUGAUCAAUAUAAUGUGUCCAUUAGCAAUGGUUUUUAAAUAAUGUUUGGUUUAUAGGCCACAAACCCCUCAAAAUCAAAAUUUGGAAAGUUCUCUUAAAGUUAAAUAAGCAACAAAAUUAUAGUUAUCCAUAAAGUAUGACACUGUGAUCAAAUCCCCCAAUUCGGAAAAUUUCUAGUGACCAUAGAACUUUAAUGAGGAAAGUCCAGAGGUGUAAGUCAAUAUUAGUAUUUUUUAUAUAAAUGUUAUAUAUUUUAUAAUGUAUCCUUUUUUAUUUCAAUUAAAGAAUUAGUAUGAGAAUGCCAGAAAUAUUUCCGUGACUUUCUUCAACCUAUACCUAAUUGUUUUAGCAUAGUUUGAGGUCUAUGCCCCCACUGCCCUUAAGUGUGGGCUAUGUAACUAUCCAGUAGAAUGCAGCAGAAGUCAUACCCUUUAACUUGGCGACCAAGUCUUAAGAAAUCUGCAGCUUCUAUGUGUAUUUUUUUGGCCCCAUCCAUGGCAUAUAGAAGUUCACAGGCAAGGGAUUGAAUCCAAGAUGCAGCUGCGACCUAUGCCACAGCUGUGGGAAUGUUGGUUCCUUAAGCAACAGUGGACCUGAAAUGAAACCCCUACUGCUACAGAGAUAAUGCUGGAUCAUUAACUCACUGUGCCAUAGUGGAAACUCUUGUAGCUUCUAUAUAUACGCUCUUCUUAGAUAUCUGCUUCUUGAAAGCAAACCACCAUAUAAGAACUCUGUUGCCCAUCACCAAAGCUAUCCUUUUAUGCCAUGAGCCAUCCCUUCCAAUAUUCAUGUCUUUGUGGAGUUCCUUUUGCUAGAAGCAGGACAGGCCCUGUGUCUUGUUCAUGACUAAUAGAAAAUAGCCACAAUGAUGCUGUAUAACCUUGAGAUUAAGUCAUAAGAAGCUUAACAACAUUUUGUCUGUGCCCCAUGGAGUUCUCGCUCUUGGAAUUCUCCUUCUGAGAGACCACCAUCACACAGAGAGACCAUAUGUAGGCACUCCAGUUGACAGUUACAGCUGAGCUGCCAGUAUCAGCUGCCAGUCAUGUGCAUGAGCUUUUUGGGCAUUCAGCUCAGUCAGAACUCAAGAUAACCUCACCCUAUCAGAUAAUUGGUGGCAACCAUAUGAGAGACCCUACACAAUGAGAAGUGAUUAUAAAUGGUGGUCUUCUUGUAUAGCAAUGAAAAGCUGGAACACAUUUCAACGACUCUGAGAUCUUCCUGCAGUGAGGAAGCCCAUGUAGCCUCACAGAGAGGGAAAGAGAAACCCUGUGCUGAAAUACCAACAAAAACAGACAUGCAAGUGAAGCCGUUUUGGACUGUCCAGUUUGGCUUAGCCUCUAGCUGAAAGCAGAUGAUUGAAUAACCUUGGUUGAUAUCACAUGAAGCAAGUGUAUUGUCUCACUGAAGUCCACCUGAGUCCCAGUCUCAUGAGAAAAUAAAUGAUUUCUGCUCUAAACCACAAUGUUUUGUGGUAAUUUUAAUGCACCAUGAGAUAACCAAAACACAGUCUGUAAAUAAUCUAUAAUAGACCCAUGAUUAGGUCAAUAUUUUCGCAGGUAAAUUUUUUUUUAAAACUGUGAGAUUGAUACAUACACACACACAGGAGAAAUGGACAGCAGAAGUAUGGAUGUGCUUUAGGACAAGUUUAUGCAUGCAUUUGAAAUAAAUUAAGUUAUUUAAAUACUUAGGGCUAAAGUGCUGGGUAGGGACAGUGACAGAAACGGGCAGAGGAAAAGACUUGGUUUAUCUGCGGGGGUGGCGGAUGUGAGAAAGAGGCUAUUUAAAAGGAUGUGGGGCUUGGGUUGCUCAAGAUUUCUAGCUGUCCACAGUACAAAGAGCAAUACAUCUAUGGGUUGCUUCUCUCUCACACCUCCUUUCCUUUGACACACUGCUUUCUCCACUUCCGUAUAGCCCUCAGACCCAAUAUGUUGCUACUCCUCACCACAGUGUCACCAGCACGGCCAUGGAUUACCAAUACUUGAGUAAUCAGGAGGAAACCAGAAAUCACCAAUGCAUGAGUCUCCCUAUGACUGACAGUCCUCUCCCCAGGUGCCAUUUUCCUUCCAAGCCCCUUCUCCAGGUAGACAGUUCUUCUCUAGCUACACAACAAACUCAGUAGGUGCUACUGGAAUCAGGGCAUCUGUUCACCUACAGUCCUCUGCACAAUAUCCAUUGGCAGUUUAUAUGUUUAGCAGGAGGGAAAUGAGUUGAUAUCAGUUGUUCCCUCAAAUCAUGCACCUGUCACUUCUCUUCACAGUAUCCUACUGGUUUGAAACCCACUACUUUCCAGAAAGCUCCAGCCUCAGGGGUUGGUUCAUUAUUUAUAAACAGCAAAUCCUUGGACCCCAAAUCCUGGUGGCAGUUUGAUCGGAAGAACUGUUAAUAGAACAGUGUAACUGUGACAGAAUACACACCAGCAGCCUCUGCCGCUCUGAAAGUUGACAGCAUGACUGUCCCAGAGUGACGGCCUAUUUGCUGAGAGCCUUACUCUCCCAGAGCUGAGUGUGACACCUUCCCCUUCAGCCCAACCUUUGCAGCGAGAGCGCUUUUCCAGCACAUUUGCUAGUCUCUAUCCAUGCUCAGGUCAGCUCUGCAGAGCGUGGCCUGAGAUUUUUCAUUUCUUCC